AACGAACGCUGGCGGCGUGUUUAAGACAUGCAAGUCGAACGAGAUGACACCGGUAUUUAUAUUGGUUGACUCUAGUGGCGCACGGGUGAGUAACACGUGAACAACAUACCCUCGAGUGGGGGAUAGCCCGCCGAAAGGCGGAUUAAUACCCCAUGGUAACCUCGGUUUAAAGAUGGCUUCGGCUGUCGCUUGAGGAUUGGUUCGCGCCCUAUCAGCUUGUUGGUGAGGUAACGGCUCACCAAGGCUACGACGGGUACCUGGUUUGAGAGGACGAUCAGGCACACUGGAACUGAGACACGGUCCAGACACCUACGGGUGGCAGCAGUCGAGAAUAAUUCACAAUGGACGAAAGUCUGAUGGUGCAACGCCGCGUGGAGGAUGACGGUCUUCGGAUUGUAAACUCCUGUCAUCAGGGAGUAAGACCUGGAGGUUAAUAGCCUACAGGGUUGAUAGUACCUGAAGAGGAAGGGACGGCUAACUUCGUGCCAGCCGCCGCCGUAACAC
rnacentral:rRNA from 1 species